UAUGCAAUCUACCCAUAACUGAGGAAUAGCCCAGAGAAAUUUGGAUUAAAACCUCAUAAUAUUAUUAUUUGGCAUCAUUUAAUAAUUAAAACUCCGGUGGUUAUAGAUGAGCAUGCGUUCUAUUAGCUUGUUGGUGAGGUAAAAGCUCACCAAGGCAACGAUAGAUAGGGGGCCUGAAAGGGUGAUCCCCCACACUGGUACUGAGACACGGACCAGACUCCUACGGGAGGCAGCAGUGAGGAAUAUUGCACAAUGGAGGAAACUCUGAUGCAGCCAUGCCGCGUGCAGGAUGACGGCCCUACGGGUUGUAAACUGCUUUUUUACAAGAAGAAACC
rnacentral:rRNA from 1 species